AGCGGGAAGUAGUUUACUACCUUGCCGGCGAGCGGCGGACGGGUGAGUAAUGUCUGGGAAACUGCCUGAUGGAGGGGGAUAACUACUGGAAACGGUAGCUAAUACCGCAUAACGUCUUCGGACCAAAGUGGGGGACCUUCGGGCCUCACGCCAUCGGAUGUGCCCAGAUGGGAUUAGCUAGUAGGUGGGGUAAUGGCUCACCUAGGCGACGAUCCCUAGCUGGUCUGAGAGGAUGACCAGCCACACUGGAACUGAGACACGGUCCAGACUCCUACGGGAGGCAGCAGUGGGGAAUAUUGCACAAUGGGCGCAAGCCUGAUGCAGCCAUGCCGCGUGUGUGAAGAAGGCCUUCGGGUUGUAAAGCACUUUCAGCGAGGAGGAAGGCCAAUAACUUAAUACGUUGUUGGAUUGACGUUACUCGCAGAAGAAGCACCGGCUAACUCCGUGCCAGCAGCCGCGGUAAUACGGAGGGUGCAAGCGUUAAUCGGAAUUACUGGGCGUAAAGCGCACGCAGGCGGUUUGUUAAGUCAGAUGCGAAAUCCCCGCGCUUAACGUGGGAACUGCAUUUGAAACUGGCAAGCUAGAGUCUUGUAGAGGGGGGUAGAAUUCCAGGUGUAGCGGUGAAAUGCGUAGAGAUCUGGAGGAAUACCGGUGGCGAAGGCGGCCCCCUGGACAAAGACUGACGCUCAGGUGCGAAAGCGUGGGGAGCAAACA
rnacentral:rRNA from 1 species